rnacentral:rRNA from 1 species
CCUACGGGUGGCAGCAGUGGGGAAUAUUGCGCAAUGGGCGAAAGCCUGACGCAGCGACGCCACGUGAGGGAUGAAGGUCUUCGGAUCGUAAACCUCUGUCAGCAGGGAAGAACGGUCACUUUGCUAAUCAGCAGUGAAUUGACGGUACCUGCAAAGGCAGCACCGGCUAACUCCGUGCCAGCAGCCGCGGUAAUACGGCGGGGGCGAGCGUUAAUCGGAAUUACUGGGCGUAAAGCGCGCGUAGGCGGUAGGUCAAGUCCAGGGUGAAAUCCCCGCGCUCAACGUGGGAACUGCCUUUGAAACUGGAAGACUGGAGUGUGUGAGAGGAGAGUGGAAUUCCAGGUGUAGGAGUGAAAUCCGUAGAUAUCUGGAGGAACAUCAGUGGCGAAGGCGACUAUCUGGAACAUAACUGACGUUGAGGAGCGAAAGCGUGGGUAGCAAACAGGAUUAGAUACCCGAGUAGUC